GCGGGAUUGCUUAGCAGUCGGGGAGCAAUAUUGCGCAUGGAAUUUUCGCUGCCUCUCUCGCUCUCUCGGUUGGGGUAUGUCUGUGUGAGUGAGUUUGGGUCUGUGUGUGAGUGUGGGGUGUCUGAGUCUGAGUCACUGAGGGGGAAGAAGUU
rnacentral:rRNA from 1 species